GACGAACGCUGGCGGCGUGCUUAACACAUGCAAGUCGAACGGAAAGGCCCUGCUUUUGUGGGGUGCUCGAGUGGCGAACGGGUGAGUAACACGUGAGUAACCUGCCCUUGACUUUGGGAUAACUUCAGGAAACUGGGGCUAAUACCGGAUAGGAGCUCCUGCUGCAUGGUGGGGGUUGGAAAGUUUCGGCGGUUGGGGAUGGACUCGCGGCUUAUCAGCUUGUUGGUGGGGUAGUGGCUUACCAAGGCUUUGACGGGUAGCCGGCCUGAGAGGGUAACCGGCCACAAUGGGACUGAGAUACGGCCCAGACUCCUACGGGAGGCAGCAGUGGGGAAUAUUGCACAAUGGGCGGAAGCCUGAUGCAGCAACGCCGCGUGCGGGAUGACGGCCUUCGGGUUGUAAACCGCUUUCGCCUGUGACGAAGCGUGAGUGACGGUAAUGGGUAAAGAAGCACCGGCUAACUACGUG
rnacentral:rRNA from 1 species